rnacentral:rRNA from 1 species
AACGAACGCUGGCGGCAGGCUUAACACAUGAAAGUCGAACGAGACCUUCGGGUCUAGUGGCAGACGGGUGAGGAACACGGGGGAACAGCCCUUUCAGUUCGGAAUAACGUUGGGAAAAUAACGCUAAUACCGGAUACGUCCUUCGGGAGAAAGAUUUAUCGCUGACAGAUUGGCCCGCGUCUGAUUAGCUAGUUGGUGAGGUAAUGGCUCACCAAGGCUAAGAUCAGUAGCUGAUCUGAGAGGAUGAUCAGCCACAUUGGGACUGAGACACGGCCCAAACUCCAACGGGGGGCAGCAGGGGGGGAUAUUGGACAAUGGGCGCAAGCCUGAUCCAGCCAUGCCGCGUGAGUGAUGAAGGCCUUCGGGUUGUAAAGCUCUUUUGUCCGGGAAGAUAAUGACUGUACCGGAAGAAUAAGCCCCGGCAAACUUCGUGCCAGCCGCCGCGGUAA